rnacentral:rRNA from 1 species
AUUGAACGCUGGCGGCAGGCUUAACACAUGCCAGUCAAACGGUAACAUAAAGGAGCUUGCUUCUUUGAUGACGAGUGGCGGACGGGUGAGUAAUGCUUGGGAAUCUAGCUUAUGGAGGGGGAUAACUACGGGAAACUGUAGCUAAUACCGCGUAGAAUCGGGAGAUGAAAGUGUGGGACCUUCGGGCCACAUGCCAUAGGAUGAGCCCAAGUGGGAUUAGGUAGUUGGUGAGGUAAAGGCUCACCAAGCCGACGAUCUCUAGCUGGUCUGAGAGGAUGACCAGCCACACUGGGACUGAGACACGGCCCAGACUCCUACGGGAGGCAGCAGUGGGGAAUAUUGCGCAAUGGGGGCAACCCUGACGCAGCCAUGCCGCGUGAAUGAAGAAGGCCUUCGGGUUGUAAAGUUCUUUCGGUAGCGAGGAAGGCAUUUAGUUUAAUAGACUAGGUGAUUGACGUUAACUACAGAAGAAGCACCGGCUAACUCCGUG